UACGGAGGGUGCAAGCGUUAUCCGGAUUCACUGGGUUUAAAGGGUGCGUAGGUGGGCAGGUAAGUCAGUGGUGAAAUCUCCGGGCUUAACCCGGAAACUGCCAUUGAUACUAUCAGUCUUGAAUACCGUGGAGGUAAGCGGAAUAUGUCAUGUAGCGGUGAAAUGCAUAGAUAUGACCCGGAACACCUAUUGCGAAGGCAGCAGGCUAAACAAAUAUUGACGCUGAGGCUCGAAAGCGUGGGGAUCAAACAGG
rnacentral:rRNA from 1 species